UACAGAGGUCUCGAGCGUUAGGCGGAAUCACUGGGCUUAAAGCGUGUGUAGGUGGAUGCCUAAGUACCUUGUGAAAUCCCACAGCUUAACUGUGGAACUGCUUGGUAUACUGGGUGUCUUGAGUCACUCAGGGGCGAGCGGAACAAAUGGUGGAGCGGUGAAAUGCGUAGAUAUCAUUUGGAACGCCAAUGGUGAAAACAGCUCGCUGGGGGUGUGCUGACGCUGAGACACGAAAGCCAGGGGAGCAAACGGG
rnacentral:rRNA from 1 species